CAGAGGGUGCGAGCGUUAAUCGGAAUUACUGGGCGUAAAGCGUGCGUAGACGGUUAUUUAAGUCGGGUGUGAAAGCCCCGGGCUCAACCUGGGAAUUGCAUUCGAGACUGAAUAGCUAGGGUACGGUAGAGGGAAGCGGAAUUUCCGGUGUAGCGGUGAAAUGCGUAGAUAUCGGAAGGAACAUCAGUGGCGAAAGCGGCUUCCUGGACCAGUACCGACGUUCAGGCACGAAAGCGUGGGGAGCAAACAGGAUUAGAUACCCUGGUAGUCCACGCCAUAAACGAUGAGGACUAGACGUUGGAAGGGUAAGCCUUUCAGUGUCGUAGCUAAACGCGCUAAGUCCUCCGCCUGGGGAGUACGGCCGCAAGGUUG
rnacentral:rRNA from 1 species